AACGAACGCUGGCGGCAUGCCUAACACAUGCAAGUCGAACGAAGGCUUCGGCCUUAGUGGCGCACGGGUGAGUAACACGUGAGCAACCUGCCCCUGGCUCUGGGAUAGCCUCCGGAAACGGGGAUUAAUACCGGAUACGACCCCUUCGGACAUCUGAAGGGGUGGAAAGAUUUAUCGGCUAGGGAUGAGCUCGCGGCCUAUCAGCUUGUUGGUGGGGUAACGGCCCACCAAGGCGACGACGGGUAGCCGGCCUGAGAGGGCGACCGGCCACACUGGGACUGAGACACGGCCCAGACUCCUACGGGAGGCAGCAGUGGGGAAUAUUGCGCAAUGGGCGAAAGCCUGACGCAGCGACGCCGCGUGGGGGAUGAAGGCCUUCGGGUUGUAAACCCCUUUCAGCAGGGACGAAGCGAAAGUGACGGUACCUGCAGAAGAAGCGCCGGCUAACUACGUGCCAGCAGCCGCGGUAACACGUAGGGCGCAAGCGUUGUCCGGAAUUAUUGGGCGUAAAGAGCUCGUAGGCGGUCUGUUGCGUCCGCUGUGAAAACUCGGGGCUUAACCCCGAGCCUGCAGUGGAUACGGGCAGACUAGAGGUAGGUAGGGGAGAAUGGAAUUCCCGGUGUAGCGGUGAAAUGCGCAGAUAUCGGGAGGAACACCGGUGGCGAAGGCGGUUCUCUGGGCCUUACCUGACGCUGAGGAGCGAAAGCGUGGGGAGCGAACAGGAUUAGAUACCCUGGUAGUCCACGCCGUAAACGUUGGGCGCUAGGUGUGGGAUCCUUCCACGGAUUCCGUGCCGCAGCUAACGCAUUAAGCGCCCCGCCUGGGGAGUACGGCCGCAAGGCUA
rnacentral:rRNA from 1 species